rnacentral:rRNA from 1 species
AGAAGAAGCACCGGCUAACUCCGUGCCAGCAGCCGCGGUAAUACGGAGGGUGCGAGCGUUAAUCCGAAUUACUGGGCGUAAAGCGCACGCAGGCGGUUUGUUAAGCUAGAUGUGAAAGCCCCGAGCUCAACUUGGGAUGUUCAUUUAGAACUGGCAGACUAGAGUCUUGGAGAGGGGAGUGGAAUUCCAGGUGUAGCGGUGAAAUGCGUAGAUAUCUGGAGGAACAUCAGUGGCGAAGGCGACUCCCUGGCCAAAGACUGACGCUCAUGUGCGAAAGUGUGGGUAGCGAACAGGAUUAGAUACCCUGGUAGUCCACACCGUAAACGCUGUCUACUAGCUGUUUGUGACUUUAAGUCGUGAGUAGCGAAGCUAACGCGAUAAGUAGACCGCCUGGGGAGUACGGCCGCAAGGUUAAAACUCAAAUGAAUUGACGGGGG